rnacentral:rRNA from 1 species
UACGUAGGGUGCAAGCGUUACUCGGAAUUACUGGGCGUAAAGCGUGCGUAGGUGGUUUGUUAAGUCUGAUGUGAAAGCCCUGGGCUCAACCUGGGAAUUGCACUGGAUACUGGCAGGCUAGAGUGCGGUAGAGGAUGGCGGAAUUCCCGGUGUAGCAGUGAAAUGCGUAGAGAUCGGGAGGAACAUCCGUGGCGAAGGCGGCCAUCUGGACCAGCACUGACACUGAGGCACGAAAGCGUGGGGAGCAAACAGG